UCCGAGUUGACCCCGGCAGUCUCCUACGAGUCCCCGGCAUGAUCCGCUGGCAACAUAGGAUAAGGGUUGCGCUCGUUGCGGGACUUAACCCAACAUCUCACGACACGAGCUAACGACAACCAUGCACCACCUGUAUACCGACCUUGCGGGGCGAACAUUUCUGAACGUUUCCGGUAUAUGUCAAGCCUUGGUAAGGUUCUUCGCGUUGCAUCGAAUUAAUCCGCAUGCUCCGCCGCUUGUGCGGGCCCCCGUCAAUUCCUUUGAGUUUUAGCCUUGCGGCCGUACUCCCCAGGCGGGGCGCUUAAUGCGUUAGCUACGACACGGAAACCGUGGAAUGGUCCCCACAUCUAGCGCCCAACGUUUACGGCGUGGACUAC
rnacentral:misc_RNA from 1 species